rnacentral:tRNA from 5 species
GCGGAUGUGGUGGAAUGGCAGACACGCAAGACUUAGGAUCUUGUGCUUAAUCGCGUGGGGGUUCAAGUCCCCCCUUCCGCA